GACAGAGGUGCCGAGCGUUAGGCGGAAUCACUGGGCUUAAAGCGUGUGUAGGCGGACGGGUAAGUACCUUGUGAAAUCCCACGGCUCAACCGUGGAACUGCUGGGUAUACUGCCUGUCUUGAGUCAUCUAGGGGCGAGCGGAACAAAUGGUGGAGCGGUGAAAUGCGUAGAUAUCAGGAAGAACAUCGGUGGCGAAGGCGCUCUGCUGGACCAUAACUGACACUCAGGGACGAAAGCUAGGGGAGCGAAUGGG
rnacentral:rRNA from 1 species